rnacentral:pre_miRNA from 1 species
GAUGUACUCCCUCCGUCCCAAAAUUCUUGUCUUAGAUUUGUCUAAAUACGGAUGUAUCAAGUCACAUUUUAGUAUUAGAUACAUACGUAUCUAGACAAAUUUAAGACAAGAAUUUUGGGACAGAAGGAGUAUAUA